UCAAGUUGUUCAGCCGCUGCAAUCAGCCUCCUCAAAUUUAGGUCCUGUAAAAUACAAAUUUUGUGAGUAAAAUGAGCCACCAACUUCGAAUCAUGUAGAAGUUUUGAUACAGAAAUUAAGUUGCAAUUCAAAUUAAGUACAAAAAGGACGUGUUGCAACUUUAAAUUCCCUCCAAGAGUCACAAUUCCUUCUUUGACCGCCAACGUGUUUUCACCAUUGGGCAAACUGACAGACCACGGUUCUAUAUCACGAACUUUUUCUAGGCUAGCAUAUGUUCCAGUCAUAUGGUGAGAAGCGCCACUGUCAAUAAUCCAAGAGAGAAUUUUUUUCUUACCCGACAUCCUCUCAUUACCGUCACUUUUGUGUGUGCUCAACAUUCCUAUCAACUUGUUCCAUUGCUCAUCACUAAGGCCAUUAAAAUCUUUUCUAUCAACAUCAGUCAUGGAUCCAUGUUCUCCUUCACUUCUAGGUGCUUGGACAACAUUGGCAUGUGC
rnacentral:lncRNA from 1 species